GACGAACGCUGGCGGCGUGCUUAACACAUGCAAGUCGAACGGUAAGGCCCUUUCGGGGGUACACGAGUGGCGAACGGGUGAGUAACACGUGGGUGAUCUGCCCUGCACUUUGGGAUAAGCCUGGGAAACUGGGUCUAAUACCGGAUAGGACUACGCGAUGCAUGUCGUGUGGUGGAAAGCUUUUGCGGUGUGGGAUGGGCCCGCGGCCUAUCAGCUUGUUGGUGGGGUGAUGGCCUACCAAGGCGACGACGGGUAGCCGGCCUGAGAGGGUGUCCGGCCACACUGGGACUGAGAUACGGCCCAGACUCCUACGGGAGGCAGCAGUGGGGAAUAUUGCACAAUGGGCGCAAGCCUGAUGCAGCGACGCCGCGUGGGGGAUGACGGCCUUCGGGUUGUAAACCCCUUUCAGCACAGAUGAAGCGUAAGUGACGGUAUGUGCAGAAGAAGCACCGGCCAACUACGUG
rnacentral:rRNA from 1 species